rnacentral:rRNA from 1 species
UACGUAGGGUGCAAGCGUUGUUCGGAAUUACUGGGCGUAAAGCGCGCGUAGGCGGCUUUGUAAGUUAGAGGUGAAAGCCCGGAGCUCAACUCCGGAAUUGCCUUUAAGACUGCAUCGCUAGAACGUCGGAGAGGUGAGUGGAAUUCCGAGUGUAGAGGUGAAAUUCGUAGAUAUUCGGAAGAACACCAGUGGCGAAGGCGACUCACUGGACGACUGUUGACGCUGAGGUGCGAAAGCGUGGGGAGCAAACAGG